UUUCUUAAAACAUGAGUACAUAUGGGCCGUCAAGGCCUCUAACAUACUGUACAAAAUGAACCUCUGUCUUCAAAUCCUCUAAGAGUAUUACACAUUGAAUGAGACAGGGUACCAACCUACCUAUAAGUCUGCAGCAAAAUUUUGACACAAUGACUCAUAAACUCGGCUGUACUCGAAUGAGGUGGAAUCUUACUGAUCCUUCGCUGAAUGCUAACCUCAUCUACUAUGAGGGCUCAUCAAAAAUAUUGUUUAUACCUGCAGUCAUGAAUGCAACGUUCCCAAAAAAAGGGUGUCAGUACGAAUAAUGUACCGAGCGUGUAAGACACAUAAGUAAUUAUAUAAAAGACAUGGAAGAAAUAUGGAGUAAAUAACUCAACCUGUAAGUCCGGAUAACUCUAUAAAUCAAGAAAUACUUAUAGUAUCAUGCAUAUGCGUAUGAAUGUCAUGUCAUGCAUAGGUACAUGUGUUCAUAAUGUCAUCAAGCAUCUGAGGCCGUCCCAUCAUAUCAUCUUGGCCACCGUAGGCAAAAUAAUCAACAUAUACCAGCUGAUCAGGUGGUGGUGCGUAUGUAAUGUCAUAACCUUUUUCCAUAUCCCAUAUACAUAUAUAUACACAUACAUAUAUAUGCGUAUAUAACGACAUCUGGUCAUAGGUCAAUAUACAUGUUAAUAAAUGCAAUGCAUGAAAAGUGCACUAAUAAAAUCUCUCGAAGUGUCAUAAGACCAUUAUACCUUUGAUUAAUAUCCUGAAGUAAACUUUUUCAACUUACAUAUUUUCUGAGACCCAUGAAUAGACAAUAGCAUAAUAAGAUAUAUAGGGAAUCAAGAACAUAGGCCCCUCUAAUACUUCUAUGAAUAGAGUCAUUUAAAGAAUUUGUGCAUUUGCUCGUUUUGUUUGUGUCGUAUAGAUCAUGCCAAAAGAAAAGAAGGGAUAGACUUAACAUACUUGAGCUGAUUUUUUUGACAAUCCCUCUAACACAUGUUGAUUAUGAUAAAAUAUGUAACAACAGAUCAAAGUAGGAGAAAAUGUGUAUGAUAUUCUUUGAGAAAGAUUGCAUCGUACUCCCUUAGAAUCAUAAAAUCCCGUGUUAAAUAGUAUUGUAUGAAAUGUUUGAAGCAAUUAUGUUUCCAUUAAAAAUUAACAUCUUUGUUGAAGCUUUCUCACUUAAAUUAGUAGAGAUGAUCAAAACUGUUUUGGUGCAUUAGAUAAGUUAUUUUAAUCCUUUACAUGUGGGUCCCACUAGGAUGACUCAUCCUUGCCUAAAGGCCUCUUAUUUGGCCACCUUCCCAUAAUAACCUAGGAGCCAUUAGGUUAGGGUGAUUGGCGGCUACAUUUGGGGCGGGAGGGGGUGGGAGAGGGGUUUAACCUUAUCGAAAUUAUCUUAAUUACGUAAUUAUCUUAAUUACUUAAUUAAUUUCCCACUAAAAAUUUAUAAUUAUCUCGUUAUCCAUGUAAUUGAAAAUUAUCUUAGAUUACCUAAAAUACAACUUUCUAUUAAUACAAUUUAUACAUUUACUAUCAUGGUCAUGUGGUACCUUGUAUGGUACUAGUCCACAAAUCUAAGUAUUACAGCUUGGACCGUAUUUUAUUCUAAAUUGUCAAACUUUGACGGAACUCAUUUUAUUCAAUUUGUUUAACCUCUCACCUUCAUGAAUUUAUUUGUCACUUGUUUGAAAUAGCAUAACACUUAUAAUCUCAAAAUAAUCUCAUUCCCGAACUUACGUUGAUUAAUUUACGACAAACAUUUAACAUAUAAAAAUGCGAAAUACAUCCCAUUCCAAACUUUUAUCAAUUUACUUAUGGCGUACUUUCAUGUACUAAAACAUGGGGUGUAACAUCAUUCCCCUCCCCCUUGGAAUAUUAAUCCUCGAAUGUUACUGAUGCACUUAUCAUUUUCAUAACCAAUAGUUCUUGCGAAUACUUUAGUACUCUUCUUUCAAUCUAGGCAACUAUUAUGUGAAUAAAUCCAAAGGCCAGAUCAUUCCUUCCCUUUUAGUCAUCUUUUCACAUCACGGUUUGUAGUCGGAAUCCUUUCUAUCUCGUAAAUAUUGUUACCUUUUAAUAUGCAGCCUGUACGACUCUAACCCGGUAAGUGUACCUAUGCGACUUUUCUUUCCUUUUUCCUCUAGUUUUUAAGCCAAUCUCUAUGCAUCAAUUUGUAACCAUAUACCGAGCUUGACAAGAUAUCCUUUUUGGCAUUUAUAGGCAUACUGAAGUUCUUUGCUUGGUACUUUGUUGAACUUUAUGAAUAUUGAUAUAUCUUGUUUCAGAUACCCAGUUAUCUAUCCGUGCGAGUUUACUGCAUCUAGAUUGGUCAUACUAUAUUAUAACUCUUACUUCGAUUACUACCAAACUCCAGGUUACUCUUGUUGCUUAUCCUAUAUGUAUAAAUAUAAGUCACUCUUCUUGCUUGUCCUAUAUGUAUAAAUUUAAGUCCUUAAUGCUUCUUCAUUACUACUCAUCUUAAGAAUGAUGGCCUAUUCUCAGCUCAUAGUUUGUAACUUUAAUCCCUCCAUUGUUAAUUUACCUCAAUAUUGAUAUGAAAUCUACUACUGAUAACUUGAAACCUCUUACGUAUUAUAUUAUCACUAGGGCUUACGUCUCAUCGGGGAAUAUCUGAAGUGGCUUGCCUAAUCGUCUUAGGGGAGAUACUAUACUUCAAUAACCGUAUUUCAUAGCAUCCCAAUGAGAUUCAUCUUACGUGGUUAUUUUAAUCUUAUAUAUUCAUGAUUCCCUUUUUUUUCCCUUCAAAUCAUUAGUCAAUUGAAGGACCAAAUGCCAUCCUUUAUCUAUCAAAAUAAAACCUUAUUUUUACUAUCAGAGCAGCAUUCGAUCUCUUCUAAAUGCUACUUACUCUUUCGAGUUCAUUCAGGCUAUACUGAGCUUUCUAUAACUUAGAGAAACCAUCAGCUCUCUUGUUUCAUUGGCUUAAUCCGGAGGACUUAUCCAUUCCCGUACCUUCUCACUCGUCGUUUCUUAUCCUUACUUCUGUCUUUUUAAAACAUUAUUGCUUUACUAUACUUUAGCUUACAACCUACACAUAUCUAUUUAUAUUAUUCGUCACCUUCCUUCAAAUUGCUCGCACUAUAGAUUUUCUUAUGUUAUUUUGGGAUAUCAAGCAAGACAUCACAUCGUCUCCAACUCUUCUUUGCUCCGGAGUUUCUUAUUUGGUCAGUAUGAUUUGGACGUGUAUUGUUUAGUAUGGUGGGGCCCUGACCCGACCUUUAUGAUAUUUAUCUACUUAUAGAGUCUUGUAGACAUAUGUCAUGUACGUAAAAGAUUGUAUGGCAUUGUCGGCCUAUGUUUAAUUUAAAAGUGAUUAUUUCGGUCUUAUAGACCCGUAUAACUAUGUAUAAGUUGGUAUUACAUGUUUUAUUAUAGUUAUCUUAUGACAAGCUUUCCCUCUCAUUUAACUGUGAUAGCAUGCUAUGGAAAGUUAUGUUAUAUUCGUACUCAUUCGUGUAAGGUAUCUGAUACCCGUCGCGACCUAUCAGUUUGGGUUGAUGGAAUGAAUACUAAUAAAUACAUCCAACUGAGCAUGUAUAUCACGUAUGCUGACAUGUCAACAUAUCAUAUGAUAGAUCAUUUAUUGCAUGACUGUGUUAUUUGUGGGUCCCACUAUUAAUAAAAAAUUUUAUUUUAUUUUUUACUUUUUUCCCCACUCUAACACCUCCUCCUCCCCCCUCCGAAAAAAAAACUAGUAAAAGAAGAUACUGCCGAAAAACCCUUCAACCAACCCCCAAAUCCAAGAAAUUAGCCACCUUCCUUCAACUAUAUUCUACUUCUCUUAUUAUUUAUGUUAAAUUCAAUCAGAAAUAGAAUCUUUGACAACCAAAAAACCUCAAUGGUUGCGAUCUCCAAUUCGCAAACAACUAACCACAUAUCUUUUCUAAAAGUCCCAGAUCAUAAGAGAUACGUAAAAUCACAUACCUUCAGAUCGAAUCUUGACAGAAAACUCCCAAUUGCUCCGUGUCGUCGCUUAAGUUCAAAAGUCAUAGCAUUUCUUUACUCAAACUACUUACUAUAUUUGAGAAAUAAUGAGAAAUGAGAUGAGAAAUAUUUUAAAGAUAACGAAAAAAAAUUGGAUAGCAAAUGGAGGGGACUGAUGGGAGAUAACUAGGGAG
rnacentral:lncRNA from 1 species